AAAAUAAUAAGCUAAUUUAAGCUAUUGGAUUCAUAUUUCAAUUAUAAUUUAAUAAAUUUUAUUUUA
rnacentral:tRNA from 1 species